UACGUAGGGGGCAAGCGUUGUCCGGAAUCAUUGGGCGUAAAGCGCGUGUAGGCGGCCCGGUAAGUCCGCUGUGAAAGUCGGGGGCUCAACCCUCGGAUGCCGGUGGAUACUGUCGGACUAGAGUACGGAAGAGGCGAGUGGAAUUCCGGGUGUAGCGGUGAAAUGCGCAGAUAUCAGGAGGAACACCGAUUGCGAAGGCAGCUCGCUGGGACGUUACUGACGCUGAGACGCGAAAGCGUGGGGAGCAAACAGG
rnacentral:rRNA from 1 species